UACAGAGGUGGCAAGCGUUGUUCGGAAUUACUGGGCGUAAAGGGCGCGUAGGCGGUCAGCACAAGUCAGUUGUGAAAUCUCCGAGCUUAACUCGGAAAGGUCAACUGAUACUGUGCGACUAGAGUGCGGAAGGGGCAACUGGAAUUCUUGGUGUAGCGGUGAAAUGCGUAGAUAUCAAGAGGAACACCUGCGGCGAAGGCGGGUUGCUGGGCCGACACUGACGCUGAGGCGCGAAAGCUAGGGGAGCGAACGGG
rnacentral:rRNA from 1 species